CUCCACCCAAAACAUUCGCAAUCUCUGCGAUCUAGGGUUUUUGAGUUUCUCUUCAUUCCUCUCUUUCUCGAUCUACAAAUUACUAUGUAAUCUCCAAAUUCUCUCCAAAUUCUACCAGAAUUCGUCUGAUUUUUCAUCAAAAUCGAUUUCUUUGCUUAUUAAUUCAAUCAAUUAGGGUGUUGGCAAUUCAAUAAUGAUAAUCUCUUUCCUAUUUCGCUUCUCAUCGUCAUCGCUGGUCACAAAACUUCGCAAUCUUCGAGUUCUCGGCCCUGGUUUGAAUCCCUUUGCUCCCUACAACAUGGCCAAUCACUCCUCUCGCUAAUUGUUUUUGCCACUCUAUUUUUGCGUUUUCUGUUGUCUCAAUCGUGUAAAAAAAAGCCUUGAAAUAUCUCAUCUUCAGAUCUUAUCUAUCGCUUCAAGUUCUAUCGGUAGGUUGAAGUUUUAUCGAUUAAAGUUUUUGGGUUUUGUGUAGUGAGUUAAGGAUAAGAUCAGUCUUGCUGUUUAAAGCUGGAAAUUUGAGGGUUUUCUUUGAAUUUGGAAGCUUCGUAGUUUUCUGGCUCUUUUUAAUAUAUAGGAAAAGGUAUGCCUCAAGACGACCAGUUGGGUUUAACUCGCCGGAGCAGACGCGUGUAUAGGUCUGGGGGCGACAGGGACGAUCGAGGUUGGACUGUGCUUCAUAUUGGUGCCCGAAAAGGUGAUCUCAAGGAGUUUUAGAAUGGGCUCAAGUGCAGAAGAUUAUGAGAGGCAUUGCAUCUGACUUGGACCACAUUCAUACGCGUGCUACUCCUGCCAUUAUACAUGGAGAUCUUAAACCCGACAAUAUUUUGUUGGGCCAGUCUAAAGGAAGUACAUGUGGCUGAGGUUUGUGAAGCCUUUAAAGUGGCUCGAGUCAUGGUUCAGGCCUUACAAGAAAAUGCUGGAAGGUGUGCUAUUUGACAUGAGUGAUGGUGAAGUAAAGAGUCUGUGGUUGGUGGUUGCCAGUGAACCUCAAUUAAUCGUGAUUGUUGGUCGUCGAUGAUUAUAUAUCAGAAAGAGAAAGAGAAGAAGUAAGACGUGGUUUCCGGUCGCAGGAAGAGAAAGAGGUAGAGAAAAAUGAAGGCGCAAAGAAGAACAAAGAAGAAAAAUGCAUAGUAGACUUUUGAGAGUAUCCAAAAGGUUGUGGGACUAAAUAGGCUAUUCAUUUUUCAAAUAGGACUUCCAGGUCGAAGGCAACUGAAAGGGAGGGAGACGUAGUUCGGAGACAACGAGAGAGAGAGAGAGAGAGAGAGAGACGCAUAACCACCAUCACCGGUGAGUUCUCCGCUGUCCUCAGCGAAGAGAGAAAGACGAAACAAGUGCAAAAUGAAAGGAGAGAAGAAGAAAUCUUUUGAGAAGAACGGCGGUCCUUGGCCAUUGUCUCAUGCCAUAGAUUAAACCAGGUUCAUCCUCCAAACUCAUUAUUGAAAGAAUGAAAGCAGGUUAAGAAAUUGAAUUCUAGAUUGAAAAGUUAGGGUUUUUUAUUUGGGGCUUUGAUUUGUAGAUUCUUUUAUCUGCAUUGUUGUCUUUGAGUUGCAUAGUGGUUCUCUAUUUCAAAGUUUGCUUUUA